rnacentral:rRNA from 1 species
UACAGAGGUCCCAAGCGUUGUUCGGAUUCACUGGGCGUAAAGGGUGCGUAGGUGGUGGGGUAAGUUUGAUGUGAAAGCUCCGGGCUUAACCCGGAAAUGGCAUUGAAUACUAUCUCGCUUGAGGGUUGGAGGGGAGACUGGAAUUCUUGGGUGUAGCAGUGAAAUGCGUAGAUAUGUGGAGGAACACCGAUGGCGAAGGCAGCCCCUGGGUCAAGAUUGACGCUCCAUGCACGAAAGCGUGGGGGAGCAAACAGG